CCUGGUUGAUCCUGCCAGUAGUCAUAUGCUUGUCUCAAAGAUUAAGCCAUGCAUGUCUAAGUACAUGCCGUAUUAAGGCGAAACCGCGAAUGGCUCAUUAAAUCAGUUAUGGUUCCUUGGAUCGUACUUCACUACUUGGAUAACUGUGGCAAUUCUAGAGCUAAUACAUGCAGCAGAGCUCCGACCUUCGGGGACGAGCGCUUUUAUUAGACCAAAACCAAUCGGACCUCGUGUCCGUCCUUCGUGGUGACUCUGUAUAACUUUGGGCUGAUCGCACGGGCCCGUCCCGGCGACGUAUCUUUCAAGUGUCUGCCUUAUCAACUUUCGAUGGUAGGUUACGCGCCUACCAUGGUCAUAACGGGUAACGGGGAAUCAGGGUUCGAUUCCGGAGAGGGAGCCUGAGAACAAGGAAGGCAGCAGGCGCGCAAAUUACCCACUCCCAGAACGGGGAGGUAGUGACGAAAAAUAACAAUACGGGACUCUUUUGAGACCCCGUAAUUGGAAUGAGUACACUCUAAACUAUUCGAGGGCAAGUCUGGUGCCAGCCGCCGCGGUAAUUCCAGCUCGAAUAGCGUAUAUUAAAGUUGUUGCGGUUAAAAAGCUCGUAGUUGGAUCUCAGUUCCAGACGGGUGGUCCGCCAAACGGUGGUUACUGCCCGUUCUGAACAGCCAGCCGGUUUCUCUUGAUGAUCUUCACCGGUUGUCUCGGGUGACCGGCAAGUUUACUUUGAAAAAAUUAGAGUGCUCAAAGCAGGCGCGACGCCUGAAUAAUGGUGCAUGGAAUAAUGGAAUAGGACCUCGGUUCUAUUUUGUUGGUUUUCGGAACACGAGGUAAUGAUUAAGAGGGACAGACGGGGGCAUUCGUAUUGCGACGCUAGAGGUGAAAUUCUUGGACCGUCGCAAGACGAACUACUGCGAAAGCAUUUGUGUUAGAGGUUCGAAGGCGAUCAGAUACCGCCCUAGUUCUAACCAUAAACGAUGCCAGCCAGCGAUCCGGCUGUGUUCCUCAAAUGACACGCCGGGCAGCUUCCGGGAAACCAAAGCUUUUGGGUUCCGGGGGAAGUAUGGUUGCAAAGCUGAAACUUAAAGGAAUUGACGGAAGGGCACCACCAGGAAUGGAGCCUGCGGCUUAAUUUGACCCAACACGGGAAAACUUACCCGGCCCGGACACAGGAAGGAUUGACAGAUUAAGAGCUCUUUCUUGAUUCUGUGGGUGGUGGUGCAUGGCCGUUCUUAGUUGGUGGAGUGAUUUGUCUGGUUAAUUCCGAUAACGAACGAGACUCUAGCCUACUAAAUAGACGUUCCGAUCAUCUCCGUCGGACGUUCUUCUUAGAGGGACAAGCGGCGUUUAGCCGCACGAGACAGAGCAAUAACAGGUCUGUGAUGCCCUUAGAUGUCCGGGGCCGCACGCGCGCUACAUUGAAGGAAUCAGCGUGUGCUUUCCCUGUCCGACAGGACUGGGUAACCCGUUGAAGGAUUGGAAAUUGUAAUUGUUUUCCAUGAACGAGGAAUUCCCAGUAAGCACGAGUCAUCAGCUCGUGUUGAUUACGUCCCUGCCCUUUGUACACACCGCCCGUCGCUACUACCGAUUGAGUGAUUUAGUGAGGUCUUCGGACUGGCGCUCGGAGCGGCCUUCGGGUCGCGCCGGCGUGCCGGAAAGAUGACCAAACUUGAUCACUUAGAGGAAGUAAAAGUCGUAACAAGGUUUCCGUAGGUGAACCUGCGGAAG
rnacentral:rRNA from 1 species